rnacentral:rRNA from 1 species
UACGAGAGGCCCAAACGUUAUUCGGAAUUAUUGGGCGUAAAGGGCGCGUAGGCGGCUGUACAAGUCAAAGGUGAAAUCCCUCGGCUCAACUGAGGAACUGCCUUUGAAACUGCCUGGCUUGAGGCCGGGAGGGGGUAGCGGAAUUCCCAGUGUAGCGGUGAAAUGCGUAGAUAUUGGGAGGAACACCAGUGGCGAAGGCGGCUACCUGGACCGGUUCUGACGCUGAUGCGCGAAAGCGUGGGUAGCAAACAGG